GAUGAACGCUGGCGGCGUGCCUAAUACAUGCCAGUCGAGCGAACAGACGAGGAGCUUGCUCCUCUGACGUUAGCGGCUGACGGGUGAGUAACACGUGGAUAACCUACCUAUAAGACUGGGAUAACUUCGGGAAACCGGAGCUAAUACCGGAUAAUAUAUUGAACCGCAUGGUUCAAUAGUGAAAGACGGUUUUGCUGUCACUUAUAGAUGGAUCCGCGCCGCAUUAGCUAGUUGGUAAGGUAACGGCUUACCAAGGCAACGAUGCGUAGCCGACCUGAGAGGGUGAUCGGCCACACUGGAACUGAGACACGGUCCAGACUCCUACGGGAGGCAGCAGUAGGGAAUCUUCCGCAAUGGGCGAAAGCCUGACGGAGCAACGUCGCGUGAGUGAUGAAGGUCUUCGGAUCGUAAAACUCUGUUAUUAGGGAAGAACAAAUGUGUAAGUAACUAUGCACGUCUUGACGGUACCUAAUCAGAAAGCCACGGCUAACUACGUG
rnacentral:rRNA from 1 species